AUGAACUGUGUGGAGAAAAGGGGUUGUCACUCUAUUGAAAUGAUUGUUGGAUAUCUUUUUGCUGUGACCCUGUCUCUCUGUAUUACUUUGGGUGCAAACGCCCCAGACCUUCUCCAGUCUCCGGUCCUGGAACGUGUCACCGAGGGUCACACUGCUCGGUUACUCUGCACCAUGAGGAACGCCGCAGUGACAAACACCGAUGUUUACUGGUACUGGAAACAGCCAGGAGGAAUGACAAUGUGGAUCUUGAGCCAUUACACAUCAAAUUAUAUACAAUUGCACUCAAGAUUCACUGAGCGAUCCCAGCCUUCCAGAGACCUCUUCAGUAACAGCUUCAUUCUGUCCAUCACAAACGUGCAGCCCAGUGACACUGGGGUCUAUUACUGCUCAGUCUGGAGAUGGAUCAAUUGGAGAGGAAGCCAGCUCAUGGUAGACAGUAUCACUGGUCCAGUCAUUCUCCAGUCUCCAAGCCUGGAACAUAUCACCGAGGGACACACUGCCUGA